rnacentral:rRNA from 1 species
CCUACGGGAGGCAGCAGUGGGGAAUUUUGCGCAAUGCUCGUAAGAGUGACGCAGCGACGCCGCGUGAGUGAAGAAGUAUUUCGGUAUGUAAAGCUCUAUCAGCAGGGAAGAAAAUGACAGUACCUGACCAAGAAGCCCCGGCUAACUACGUGCCAGCAGCCGCGGUAAUACGUAGGGGGCAAGCGUUAUCCGGAUUUACUGGGUGUAACGGGAGCGUAGACGGUUAUGUAAGUCUGGAGUGAAAGCCCGGGGCCCAACCCCGGGACUGCUUUGGAAACUGUGUAACUGGAGUACAGGAGGGGCAGGCGGAAUUCCUGGUGUAGCGGUGAAAUGCGUAGAUAUCAGGAGGAACACCGGCGGCGAAGGCGGCCUGCUGGACUGAAACUGACGUUGAGGCUCGAAAGCGUGGGGAGCAAACAGGAUUAGAUACCCGUGUAGUC